UACGAAGGGGGCUAGCGUUGCUCGGAAUCACUGGGCGUAAAGCGCACGUAGGCGGCUUUCUAAGUCAGGGGUGAAAUCCUGGAGCUCAACUCCAGAACUGCCUUUGAUACUGGAAAGCUUGAGUUCGGGAGAGGUGAGUGGAACUGCGAGUGUAGAGGUGAAAUUCGUAGAUAUUCGCAAGAACACCAGUGGCGAAGGCGGCUCACUGGCCCGACACUGACGCUGAGGUGCGAAAGCGUGGGGAGCAAACAGG
rnacentral:rRNA from 1 species